UUUAAAACUUUUUAAGGAUCAUUUUGUCAACAACUGUUUGUCCUAUAAUGUUUUUUUUUGUUUUUUUCAUAGAGCCACGCUCUGUUGAAACCUGGACGACGGAGACGCCGCUGCAUCCCAAAAUCCUCCAGACUCCAGGUCCAAACGAUGAGACGGCUGUUACAGGUGGCCGUCUCUUCCUGAGCGUACCGGUCCUCGGUGUGUUUGGCUGUGUCUUACUGAUCCUGGGUUUUGGAGUCAGCGUAUAUUCACUCAAACUAAGGGGUCAACACCGAACUGUAAGUCAGGACGACUUGGACGUUUAAGAGAAAGCACCAGCACUACCUUCACUACUUGGUCUGGGCCAACGUUCAGUCGGGAGAGGACGGCUGCGGUAUUUCACCGGACCUUUAACUGGACCUUUAACUGGACCUUUAACUGGACCUUUAACCGGACCUUUAACCGACCCACGAUAGAAGACCAAAGACAACGAGUUUGUCUCUGUAUCGUAGGGCUCUCCUCACGAUUCACAAACUGGCUUUUUGUGGUUCUGUUGUUGUAACGACGCUGUGUGACCAGAGGUCCGCACUACCGAGCAAGAUUUGGCGUCAACGAGGGGACUCCAGGGUUUGGGGGAUCUAUUGACAUUAUAUCGCAUUUAACCGAUCCGGCAUAUCAACAUCCUGUGCAACUUUUCUCCACGCAGCAGUCGUAGGAAUCAGAACGUUGUAGGACCCAAAUGCAGAGACAGCAGGAAAAAGUAGUAAGCUCGAGGAUUUAAUAUUAAACACAAGAUAUACAACCCAGGAGUCCUCAAGACAGCAGGCAAGGAAAUCCAAAACGUGGUAGCAGUCAAAAAAAAACGAGUCGCAGCAACAUAUACACAAUCAUAACAGCAGCAGCCUGUUUAUAUUUACUCGGAUGGAUGGAUGGAUGGAUGGGAGGAGGUCAUAGAGAAUUUUUAUUACGGAGCUGAUUUCAAGUGCUAGUGUGAAGGCGGCGUCACGGAGAGUCCACGUAUCUGAACUGGAUUACUGCGGUUUAGUCACGAUGUCAAUCUUGGAAGAUUUAAAAUUAGAUUUCACACAAACGGAACCUCAAAGUAACGCUAAUAACCUCCGACACGGACAUAUUUCUCUUUACAAUGGAAGACUUGAGAUGAUAAAGGCACCACGGUGCUUCAUUGUUAUUUAUUUUUUUACCUCCGUUCUUAAGAUCUCAUCAAACUUUAUUUAUUAUCUGUUUACAAAAUGACUCCAAACACUGACAACGAGGAAGAAGAUGUUGGGCAGAUAUUUAAAACGUACGAAUUGACCCCAAGUCUUCAACGCACUGUGUAUUUACUGCAUGCAAAGUAAUACGUACACUAACAAUAGAUAUGUUUUUAUUAGGGCUGUCAAACGAUUACAUUUUCUUAAUCGCGAUUAGUCGUUGAAUUUCUAUAGUUAAUCGCGUGUUUUAUCACAUGAUUAAAAUUCUAUUAUUUUGCAUUUCAGAACUGUUUUUAAGUCCAUAUUAACAAUGGAAAGCCAUUCUUACCAGUGGAUCUUGAUUGGGAAUCAAAUGAAUGCAAAGAAAGUGACUUUAUGAACUUGAUUUUAAGAUUUGUAUUUGUUUAUUAUGUAUUUAAUCUAGUCACACAUUUGAAUUUAAAGGGGAUGAUAGAAUGCAAAACCGAUUUUACCUUGUCGUAGUUGAAUAACGACAGUUCGGUGGGUAAACAGGACAUACAUAAAAGCUCAAAAAUCCCUAUGAUACCCCUUUACUAUGCAAAUCUCACAUUUUGAAACUGCCGCUGAAAACGGGCGAAUCUGAACAAAGCUAAAAGUUGACGUAAGCAUCCCAACUCCUAGUCUUUGUCACGCCCCAACAUUUGCAUAGGCUACACCACUGACCUGAGGUCAGCUUAGUCUGAAUCUAGCUAGGUCACGCAGAUCUCCAGAGGUCCGCUAUAAUUACUAAAUUCACUUCGGAGACUUUUUUAUGCUAAUUGCAAAUUUUGUCCGACUGUGUGUCGCAGUUCAGCAGGAGCUCAGCAGGCUACGUGACAGCUGGCGGUGCUGCCUCGCCGCCCGCCGUGUCCUACUUCAUAGACUCGCUGUGAGCUAGUCGCAAAGUCACCGUUUCUGGGUUACUGGACUACAAAAUGCCGAGGCCCUGAUGGAGCUCCAGGGCCUGCAGCUAGCCGCGAUCUUUACCCAUAGGAUUGAAGGAACAGUAGCAGCUAACGAAAUCCCUAAUGUUCACAAAAAUGCAUUAAAUUGAAAUCGGACACUAUUGUUAGCUUUAUAAGACCUUGGGGUAGAUGUUAUAUAAGUGGCGUGACGAAAUUCAAACUGUAAAUAUAUCAAAGUUAUGCCGGCAGCUGGCAGCCAGCCAGCUCCACCGAGCCCCGGUCGUCCAGUAACCGAGAAACGGUGACUUUCACUGGGUACGGAGGUUGCCGCUUUCUCAUCAGACUGUGUGGAGCUCCUAGCUAAAGUCCGACACGUCUUACCAAAUUUGCAAUUAGCCAUCAGUUUUCGUAAAACGGCCCAUAUUUGAGCUUUAUAUAGUUGAUUUUGCCCUUAAAAAAGUCUCAGAAGUGAAUUUAAUAACGAAAUAGUAGACAAACAAUGUAUAACUUUGCAGUGUCUGAAAUAUGAGACCUGCUGUCUCGUCUCCAAUGUGUUUCUACAUACAUACAUACAUACAUACAUACAUACAUACAUACUGAGCUACCCAGACGCCCAGCUGAGAUAU
ensembl:lncRNA